GGUGUUUUGGCUCAGUGGUAGAGCGCUCGCCUGGCAUGCAAGAGGCACUGGGUUCGAUCCUCAGCACCA
rnacentral:tRNA from 1 species